rnacentral:rRNA from 1 species
UGCAAGUAGAACGCUGAAGGAGGAGCUUGCUUCUCUGGAUGAGUUGCGAACGGGUGAGUAACGCGUAGGUAACCUGCCUGGUAGCGGGGGAUAACUAUUGGAAACGAUAGCUAAUACCGCAUAACAGUAGAUAUCGCAUGAUAGCUGCUUGAAAGGUGCAAAUGCACCACUACCAGAUGGACCUGCGUUGUAUUAGCUAGUUGGUGAGGUAACGGCUCACCAAGGCAACGAUACAUAGCCGACCUGAGAGGGUGAUCGGCCACACUGGGACUGAGACACGGCCCAGACUCCUACGGGAGGCAGCAGUAGGGAAUCUUCCACAAUGGGUGCAAACCUGAUGGAGCAAUGCCGCGUGAGUGAAGAAGGUCUUCGGAUCGUAAAGCUCUGUUGUUAGAGAAGAACACGUGCUAGGUAACUACUAGCGCCUUGACGGUAUCUAACCAGAAAGUCACGGCUAACUACGUGCCAGCAGCCGCGGUAAUACGUAGGUGACAAGCGUUGUCCGGAUUUAUUGGGCGUAAAGGGAGCGCAGGCGGUCUGUUUAGUCUAAUGUGAAAGCCCACGGCUUAACCGUGGAACGGCAUUGGAAACUGACAGACUUGAAUGUAGAAGAGGAAAAUGGUAUUCCAAGUGUAGCGGUGGAAUGCGUAGAUAUUUGGAGGAACACCAGUGGCGAAGGCGAUUUUCUGGUCCUAACUGACGCUGAAGCUCGAAAGCGGAGGAAGCGAACAGGAUUAGAUACCCUGGUAGUCCACGCCGUAAACGAUGAGUGCUAA